rnacentral:rRNA from 1 species
UGGCCAGACUCCUACGGGAGGCAGCAGUGAGGAAUAUUGGUCAAUGGCCGAGAGGCUGAACCAGCCAAGUCGCGUGAGGGAAGACGGCCCUACGGGUUGUAAACCUCUUUUGUCGGGGAGCAAAGCGAACCACGUGUGGUUCAUUGAGAGUACCCGAAGAAAAAGCAUCGGCUAACUCCGUGCCAGCAGCCGCGGUAAUACGGAGGAUGCGAGCGUUAUCCGGAUUUAUUGGGUUUAAAGGGUGCGCAGGCGGAGGUGCAAGUCAGCGGUCAAAUUGCGGGGCUCAACCCCGUACUGCCGUUGAAACUGCAUCCCUUGAGUGCGCGGAAGGCAGGCGGAAUUCGUGGUGUAGCGGUGAAAUGCUUAGAUAUCACGAAGAACCCCGAUUGCGAAGGCAGCCUGCCGCAGCGUUACUGACGCUGAAGCUCGAAAGCGCGGGUAUCGAACAGGAUUAGAUACCCCCGUA